rnacentral:sRNA from 1 species
UGGGGUCUCACCUGUGGGCCCUGAACCAAGAGCACUCCUGGAAUACCAGCUCUCCCAGGACAGGACUUGUAUGUGGAGGACUGUAGGACAGUCCAGCUCCAGGUUGCAGAUGGAGACACGGAAGGAUCCUGUCCCAGGAUGCUCUGUGGUUCCUAUGCUCUGAGCUUUUCUGGAAUUGAAUUAUGGACUCCUACAUGAAAAGCAACCUGUAUCUUCAAACCAUUCAAAGAGAUAUUUGGGUAGAAAAUUAAACUUCAAAUUUUUGGAAAAAUGAACUUCAAUUAAAGAUGAAACAAGCAGAUCCCUGGAGUUUAGGAAGCAACCAAUGAACCUAGUCAACUUGCAGACUACCAGAUAUUUAUUUUGAAUCUACAAUUUGGCCCCUAUGGAGACUCUUUCAAUUACCAUGGGAAUACAACCAUUCUCCCUGGAGUAAAG